rnacentral:tRNA from 1 species
UCGACGCCACGUCCACGCGCACGCCGACACCCAUGGUCGACGACACCGCGACCUUGCGCAGGUAGAUGCCCUUGCUG